CUUGGUCAGGAUGAACGCUAGCUACAGGCUUAACACAUGCAAGUCGAGGGGCAGCAUGAGAUUAGCUUGCUAAUCUGAUGGCGACCGGCGCACGGGUGAGUAACGCGUAUCCAACCUUCCCCCUACUCAGGCAUAGCCCGGUGAAAACCGGAUUAACUCCUGAUAGUUUCACUAGAUGGCAUCUGACGGUGAAUAAAGCUCAGCGGUAAGGGAUGGGGGAUGCGUCUGAUUAGCUUGUUGGCGGGGUAACGGCCCACCAAGGCGACGAUCAGUAGGGGUUCUGAGAGGAAGGUCCCCCACAUUGGAACUGAGACACGGUCCAAACUCCUACGGGAGGCAGCAGUGAGGAAUAUUGGUCAAUGGGCGCGAGCCUGAACCAGCCAAGUAGCGUGCAGGAUGACGGCCCUAUGGGUUGUAAACUGCUUUUGUGCGGGAAUAAAGUCAGGGACGCGUCCCUGUUUGCAUGUACCGCAAGAAUAAGGACCGGCUAAUUCCGUGCCAGCCGCCGC
rnacentral:rRNA from 1 species